rnacentral:rRNA from 1 species
UACGAAGGGGGCUAGCGUUGCUCGGAAUCACUGGGCGUAAAGGGUGCGUAGGCGGGUCUUUAAGUCAGGGGUGAAAUCCUGGAGCUCAACUCCAGAACUGCCUUUGAUACUGGCGAGCUUGAGUUCGGGAGAGGUGAGUGGAACUGCGAGUGUAGAGGUGAAAUUCGUAGAUAUUCGCAAGAACACCAGUGGCGAAGGCGGCUCACUGGCCCGAUACUGACGCUGAGGUGCGAAAGCGUGGGGAGUAAACAGG